GCUCCGCUCUGCUGGGGCUGCUGGGUCCGCCGUCUACUUUCAACAAAUCCAGAUCUUUGAUUCCUAGAAGAAGAAAAGAGUCAGACUGGUACUGUAGGAGGGACAUUAUAUCUACGGCUUUGUAUUUGUGUCUCACUCAUGAGCAGGUCAGCCGUCAUGGACUUGGAUCGAAGUGUCAGCGAGGUGCUGGGGGCUCGUUUUGGAGGGGGCGGAGCUACAAGAUAAAAACCAACCACAAGAUCAAGGUUGGAUUCAGAUUUCCUGGAAACAGAGACGACCUUCAUCAGUAGUCGACUUCCUCCCUGUCGGAUCAGAGAGACGACCUGCCGGUGACCCACCUUCACCACGUCAGCACCGUUCACCUGGACCAGGACAGACAGCUCCUCCAUCCACCCAUCCUGCUGUUUCUACCUUUAGCUCCUCUGAGGACGAAGCCGAAUCCCUCGCUCUCUCUCUUCUGCAGCACGGCCGUCUUCUCCUCGAUCACAUAGUCACUAACAGAAAAUAACAGAAAUGUGUCACAAUAUUUUCAGGUCUUUUUAGUAGUUUAAUAAAUUGUAGAGUAAAUGCAUAGUGUGGAGUGAAUUAGAAAGCUCACUGCAGAUACUGAAAUGUAAUUGUACUUCCCUUAAAUUAUCGUCAAUGUAAAAAAAAAAACCUAACUUUUUUAAUAAAGUUGUACUAUAUACAGUAUGUGUUGUA